UGUGCAGCUUUCCGGCUAUGUCUCCAAUCAGCUCCUGAGGACAAGAGGAGGAUUUCUGUCAGUGUCUCAGUAUUCUAAGGAGGAGACUCCAUGUGAGCAGACCUGCUCCCUGCCUGGAAGGGACUCAGCUCUAGGAUCCUUGACUGUCUCCACAUCUCUGCCGAUCCCUGCUGAAACAACAUGCCUGGGAGGACAGCAGGAGAGAGCCUACAGAGGUAGAGGGAAGAACCUGAAGGAAACGGCAGCGACUUGGAUUUUAACUCGGUUGAGCUCAUGUCUGUCAGAGCCCCCGCCGGAGAAGCAAAGUUCACUCUCACCUCGGCUGCCAUUUCGGACGGCGUUGUGCUCGUGUGCGCAGCGAUCCCGGCAACUGGUACAACCUGCGGAACAGCGAGAGGG